UGUUUUAAUAAAUCUGGGUAAAUUACAAGACCUGGUGUCCCCGCCCCGCCCGGGCCCGAGCUCUCCGCUGGGGGCCGGCGCUCGGCGCGCGCACCCGCCCUGAAGACUUGCUCCACCUCUCGGGGAGGAGACCCCGAGGACCGAUCUGGGGCACCCUCGGAGCGGAUGGUGAGGGCCACCACCCCGCCACUCUUCUCGCCUUUGCCCCACGACGGUCGUCACUGCCGAAGGGGCCGCCAGCCGCGCGCAUCCUGGUCGCGAGCGCCGACCAGGGGUGCGGAGGGGUGGCGGCGGAGCCCGGCUGCGGCGGGUGCGCCCGAGGCUGGCACCCCGAGGACAACGGCGAGGCCAAGCGGCCGAGAUGUGAAAGUAAAGAAAGGACAUAUAAAAUAACAAAGAUGCUUUUGAGCCAGAAUGUCUCAGCGGUUGGACCACUUAAUUUGUAUCCCAUGGUAUCACUGUGUCAUCUGUUCCAUAGUUUAUCAGUAAGGUAUCCAUGAGUGGGACACUUCUCCCCCGACAAGUGCCAUGCAUUGGAGAGUAUAUGACAGCCUUGGUCCCCCACCUACUAAAAAUGCCCCUAACCCGCCACCCGACUCGCCAAGUCGUGGUGACAUCCAGGAAACAAAUGAGAAUCCCCACUUCCCAUCACCAAGAC
rnacentral:lncRNA from 1 species